GUACUCACUUCAGUAGUACAUAUACUAAAACUGAGACAAUACAGAAAAGAUCAGCAUGGCCCCUAAGCGAGGAUAAGAUGCAAAUUUGUAAGGUGUUCCAUAUUAAA
ensembl:snRNA U6 U6 spliceosomal RNA